GCAGAGAUGGUAGAGUGGUCGAUUGCGGCGGUCUUGAAAACCGUUGACGGGAAACUGUCCGGGGGUUCGAAUCCCUCUCUCUGCGCCA
rnacentral:tRNA from 1 species